rnacentral:rRNA from 1 species
UAAUACCAGCUCUCCGAGUGGUGGGGACGAUUAUUGGGCUUAAAGCGUUCGUAGCCGGCUUAACAAGUCUUCCGUUAAAUCCAACGAUCUUAUCGUUGGGCUGCGGGAGAUACUGUUGGGCUAGGAGGCGGGAGAAGCCGACGGUAUUCUCGGGGUAGGGGUGAAAUCCUGUAAUCCCGGGAGGACCACCAGUGGCGAAGGCGGUCGGCUAGAACGCGCUCGACGGUGAGGGACGAAAGCUGGGGGAGCGAACCGGAUUAGAAACCCGGGUAGUCCCAGCUGUAAACGAUGCGGGCUAGGUGUUGGGGUGGCCACGAGCCACUUCAGUGCCGCAUGGAAGCAAUUAAGCCCGCCGCCUGGGGAGUACGGCCGCAAGGCUG